AAAGCAAGGAAGAACGCAGGGGUGGGGGACCUCUAUCAGGAGAGAUGACACCGACUUCGAUCGGUCUUAUAACUCGAAGCGAGUGUCAUCUCUCCGGACAAGGGUCCUCCAACUCCAUUCAUCUCUCCCACCAGCUCCAAUGUAUGGGAGAGAGACAUCAGAUGAGAGCAUCCUUUCGGACCAUAGACAUGGCUUCACGUUUCCAACCAGCCAGCCAUGGAGUUGUGAAGGAGUUGGGGCUUCCUUUGUCGCAGGAAAGGUGACACCUGCGGUGGCUAACCAUAGACAUGGCAACUGUCACCUUUCUGUGACAAAGGAAUCUACUAUCUCUUUUCUUGGCCUUUACACCAUCAAACUCGGUUCCACUUGUGUAAGUUCUACUGUUGGAUCUCCAUGCUUGUUUUGCCUUCUAAAUGGCUAUCUCUCUUCUCUCUUUUCCUCUACUAGGAUGGUUUCAGGUUCCAAUAUUUGUUACUCAGAAUGGAGCAACAUCAACCAAAUCUUUGAGCCAUCUCAGAAUGGCAUCAUAUUUAAGACUUGAAUGCAUUAAUUCCAUUGUGCAGCAUGGCAGGAGAAUUCUUAAGUUUGAAGUACAAUUACCACCAUUCUCCAUAAACAAAGCUCGCUUGUUUCUUCUGUACCAACUGCAUCAUAUAUUCUCCGACUCAUUAUGCACUAAAUGGUGGAAUUUAGAGCUGGCUUCUUGGGACCAUCAAUGAAGGUCAUUUUCAACCUGACCUUGGAGGGUUUGACUAAAGAGAGACAUAAUAUGUUCUGAUUAAACUUCAAUGCAUUAACGUGAUCGCUGUCCAUCAAGCUGAGAUGUGACCCAGACCUAACCUUGGUUGAUUGGAGGAGGCCUUCAAAAGAGAAAGUUAGUAGGUUCUGACAUCAAGGAUCCGUAUAUGAUUAAUCUUCUAUUUAUAUUAAAGGCAGGCAUAUUCUGAUUGGGGAGAGUCGGACUCUAAAAAUGAGAAAUUUUCAUUUCAAUCAUUUGGUGCAGAAAAAUCUUAUUCUCAAUCUUUCAAAAUCUAAUUUUUUCCAAUUUCUGCUCCAAUCCAUUCCUACUCCAAUCUCGAACCAAACCUAUCCUAAAUCUUUCACCUUGGUAACAAAAAAAGGGACCGAGAAUAGUACUCUGUUCCAGAACAGAGUGCUAUAAAAGACAGUGAUGCCGAUUCUUUUUCCCUUUUUUUUCUUUUUUUUUUCUUUUUUGUCUUGCUGUGGCGGCCGGGCAAGUGACGCCAAUCAAACAGCAUUCAGAGAAUAUGUUCCCUACGAAAUGCAUGACAGUGCGAAAGGAGGAAAGCCGGAAGGCUCAAAUCAUCUACAAUCCAAAAGACACCCUGGAACGCUCUUUCGACAAUUAAACAAAAUGGAUCAUAGAAGCUAAAGAGAUUGGGUGUGAUGGUGACAGUUGUAGCGCUAGAAAAGUGGAGGAUAUUUUAGCAAGCAUGCAUAACACGUUCUUGUCUUUAAACUGGUCCAAAAGGCUGACCGUUUACAGAAUUCAGUACUGCUGGCGCCUCUUUGACAUCCACCAAUAGAAUCCAUGGCCCAGAGCAGAGUCCCACGUGAAAGAAAAAGUAUUGUGUUGAACUGGAUCCACCACAUCAUUUUUUUUUGGUCGGAUCCAUCAAAGCUAGGCACAUCACGGGCUUGAUAGAGAGGAAAAAAACCUUCAAUUUUUAUAGAGAAAUUAUUGAUUAGAAUGAUUCUACUAUCUAUAUUUUAUACCAUCCAAUAACAAACCAGUAUAUCAUCUAUUAUUAAGAAAAUAUACACUAUUAUCCAAGUUUGAUUGAAAAUUUUAAAUAAAAAAAAUAUUGUUAGCUAUGAUUGAUCAACUGAUAACUUUUACUAUUUUAAAUAGAAAGAGAUUCACUUUCUUGAAUGAUGUAUUUGCUUUAUUAUUGGAUGGUGCAAGAUACACAUAGUAGAACUAUUCUAACCGAUAAUUUUUCAUUUUCAUAGGAGAGAUUAUUGGUUAGAACUAUGAAAUUUUUUUCACUUAAAAUUUUCAACCAAGCUUGAGAAAUAAUGUAUUUUUUUCUAACAAUAUAUGAUUGUAUUGGUUUGUUAUUGAAUGGUCAAAAGCAUAUACAGUAAAAUCAUUAUGACUAAUAAUUUCUCAUUUCUAUCGAAUGAAUCAUAAUUUUUGAUUGAAGGUGCAAAAGCCAAGAGUGGGAUGAAUGUGGAGGUUCUCCCCCUAAGUUUGCUAUGGAUCUCCCUCACUCUUGCUCUCCUCCACUUCCUCGCAACAGCUGCAAAGAAGAACUCGUCAUCCUCCAACGUCAAGCUACCACCCGGCCCAGUCGAGCUUCCCAUUCUGGACAGCCUCUGAAGGUGGGUGAUCAACCCUAUCGCUCACUUGCCUGCUUGGCCAAGACCUAUGGACCUAUCAAGCUCGGCCUCACUGCCACCGUCAUCGUCUCCUCCAGCAUCGGCACCCAAAUCUCUUUUCCUCCAUCACAAUGUACCGAGUCUUAGUUGAAUUAGUUCAAAAAUGACAUGAUCGAUAUGGUUCAACCAAUAAGAAUGCACGAUAUUAGACCGUAUGGACCAAGGGAUGGUGCGCAUGUGAUGAGCUGACAACUAUGCUAGCAAGAACAUGGGGAGGGGGAAAAUGAAAGGGCAUCAUCCAUUAUAGGUAGGCAUGAGGCUAGGCUAACCUAAGCAAACAGGGGAAACAAAGGCUGAAACCAUGCGACUCUGAUCUUGGAUAGAGUUUAUAUUUCAAACUAUAUAAUACAAGACCAUCUAAACAUGACCAUAAGAAAGGGAAGGUGGAUGAUUAUACCUUUUUAUAUUGCUAUAUACAAAACAGAAAAGAUAGAAAAGCUGGUGCUUUGCUUCACAGAUUGCAGAACAGAAGAAGAGGUGUGCUCAAAAACAAUCAUGAACCUGUAGUGGUAAAAACAAACAGCAUUUAAAGAAGAAGGAGAAGAUGCUUUUACAAAAUCUGUGGAACAUCAGCAACUUAAGCAACUCUAUGCAAUGUUUGAGAGUCUCCAAUUCCUGAAGAGCUAGAGAUUUCUGAGGGAAGACGUGUCUUCUUCUUGCUCCUGCAAGGUCUUUGGCGCUACAAUUCCAUGUUUAAUAAUACGUAAUGAGAUUGGAUUUGAGGGUAAAGGGAAGAUCUUUGAGCAGGUGGAAGAGGGGUGGAGAUGUGGGGGUCGCUGGAGAGGAGGUCAUCGGAUUAUUUGUCUUUCAUUGUUUAUAAUUUUAAAAAAAAUAUGAUAUAUUUAAUUAUAUAUGA